AGUGAACGCUGGCGGCAGGCCUAACACAUGCAAGUCGAACGAGCGGCGGACGGGUGAGUAAUGCCUAGGCAUCUUCCCGGUAGUGGGGGAUAACGACUGGAAACGGGCGCUAAUACCGCAUACUAUCAGUUGAGCCUAUGUCGGAUUAGCUAGUUGGGGGGGUAAAGGCUCACCAAGGCGAUGAUCCCUCCCGGGUCUGAGAGGAUGAUCAGCAACACUGGAACUGAGACACGGCCCAGACUCCUACGGGAGGAAGCAGGGGGGAAUAUUGGACAAUGGGGGCAAGCCUGAGGCAGCAAGGCCGGGUGGGUGAAGAAGGCCUUCGGGUUGUAAAGUCCUUUAAUCGGGAAGGCGGUACCCGAAGAAUAAGCACCGGCUAACUACGUGCCAGCAGCCGCGGUAAUAC
rnacentral:rRNA from 1 species